GACGAACGCUGGCGGCGUGCUUAACACAUGCAAGUCGAGCGGUUAAGGCCCUUUCGGGGGUACACGAGCGGGCGAACGGGUGAGUAACACGUGGGUGACCUGCCCUCAGCUCUGGGAUAAGCCUGGGAAACCGGGUCUAAUACCGGAUAUGACUCCAUGACGCAUGUUGUGGGGUGGAAAGCCUUGUGCGGCUGGGGAUGGCCCGCGCCUAUCAGCUUGUUGGUGGGGUGAUGGCCUACCAAGGCGA
rnacentral:rRNA from 1 species